AAAAAGAUAAGCUAAUAAAAGCUAUUAGGUUCAUACCCUACUUAUAAAGGUCAACUCCUUUUCUUUUUA
rnacentral:tRNA from 1 species